GGUAUGAGGGGGACUUUUUCCCUUAAUAAACUCUCCUUUGGGAAGCUAUUGAUUUCGGAAGUCGGCCGCUUUUCCCACCAACCAUAGUUUUUUUGGCACAUGCCUAGAGCCCCUCUGUGUGUUACUAAAGAGUUGGCUCAUUUACCCCAGACAGUAUACGUAGGGAUCUGGGUUACCCCCCACCCAGAUACAUACAAAACGAUCUCAGAGGUCUUCAGGGAAGUUUGAUGCUAGAAGAAAGCAAGACUGCUACAGCUCUGCCCUGUUUCAUCCCCUGAGCAAAGAAUUCUCCCAUGUAAGAGUAUCAAUGCGGAGGAAAAAAAAGACCUGGUGUCCUUUGCAGGACAAAUAUUUUCCCUCUGUAUACACACAGGAGUAUUUCACAUCCUCGGCUUACAUCAGCGAACAUCCACAUAUUUAAAGUUGUACCCCAGAAAAGAAGUGGCAGAAAGGAAAGCUAUAAGCCAAGGGGGGAACCUAUUUUUGCUGUUACCACAAUCUGAAAAGGGUUUGCUUUCAUGGCCAAAUAUUCUGAGAAGCACUGAAAUGUAUGUAUGAACUUUGCUGAGUGACAACAGCUGUACGGGAGGACAAUAUAUCAGAAGACCUAACAAUUAUUGUAAAAACAAAAAUUAUGGACCACAGCUACAGACUGUUUCCCUCAAGUGGCCAGAACAGAAAACACAGGCCAAGCUUCCAGUCACUGAGCUCUGAAUUGGAUGGACCAGGCAAUGGUAACUAAAAAUGAGUCUUCAAAUGAUGAAUACAUGAUAGCUGGAGGAAAAGGAAAGCUCUGAAUGCCCAUCACAGGAGAAGAUGUGAGCAAGGUUGCUGGUGAACAUACACCCUCUUCCAAGAUGCUUGUAGCAGCUCCACAAAGCAAAAAGAGCCCGAGGUACAGAGCGGAGGGAAUAUUUUACAGCAGGAGGAGCGUGAAACUCCAACGGCAUCUCUCAGACAGUUGAUGGGAAUAUCAGUUUCUAUUCCAAGCCAUUAGCUGCUGGUGGCAGCAUGUCUCCGAGGAAGACUGUGAUACCAACAGUCAGGGGAGUCCAGAGUCAGGCAGCUUUUCAUUGGGAGGCCAGGGGAGGUUUCUAGCUGCUUUGCCCUACUGAUCCCUGAACAUCAUGGGUGUUAGAGGACUUGAUCUCCUGCCCUUCCUGCCAAGAAAACAAACCUUCUCCUUCUAAGGAGACACUUAUAAAAUCCCCAGCUUAAAGAAACUAAAAAAAAAAAUUCCCAGCAGGGGAAGCUUCCUAUGUAUCUUCCUGGAAAGUCUUUCCAGUACCUGGGAAGCUCCUUACGGUCUUAUAGUCAGCAUUUUUACAGCACCUUUUCUUUCUACUUUUAGCUAUUUUUUAAAUUGUCAACUAAUUUAUGGUAAAACAGUAAAAGCAGAAAGACAGCAUUCAGGUAAUUUUAUUAAGCAGCUGUAAUGGUGGUAGUUGCUAGUUGCAUGCCACAGAACCUCAGCGGUACUGCUCAAGAUGCCUAUGAGGUAAAGGGGGACUAUUUGGAGAGAUUUAUUAGGUUCUUAACCUCAAGUUAAAAAGCAAAGAUAAAUAGAGGGAAGCCUCCUCCCAAAAGACCUCAAUUACUUACAAAUAGUCAGAAGACGCAUUGAAAACCUUACAGUUUCUAUCCCAAGCUUCGUUAUUCUUUACAUAACUUUUCUUAAAGCUGAACUGAGGAAUUACAUUCAGACUGAAGUGCAAAGCUUCCUCUCCUUGGAUAAAAAACAAAAUGAAAACAAAAGCCAAGAGCAUUUCUUCAUGGUCCCGCCCAGCCCCCUGCAUGUACAUAGACACAGUUGUGGAAAUGUCCACAUGUAUGAACCUUUAUGCUCUACCCUUCUGUCUAAAAGCCCUUGUACACUCAAAGGGAAGAUCUGAAGCUUCAUAAAAACAAAGUCCUUUUACUGACUUCAGGAGGUCAAGCGUCAUAUAUAAGCAAUUUGAGGAAAGAGAAACAAAAACCUAUUAGUACUUCCUGACAUUUUUUGUGCCCUGAAAAAAAUUUUGAAUUUUCCAUUAAUUCAUGUUAAAGUAGGAGUAUGCAAACCUAAAGGUGACAACUUGACUUUCAGCAGCAGCAGCAGCCCAACGGUGAACAUCAACACUUACUGAUCAUGCAUCGGCGUUAACUAAUGCGGUUUCGGUGCAACCUGAGGACAUAACUAUGGGCUGUUUGCAGUAUCCCAAAUUUCCGCCAUGGUCUCUAAUGUUUACUUAAACUCUAGAAACUGAGAUGUGGAUUUUAAUUCAUUUUAGCUUAGAAAAUAUCGUGCUCUUACUGACUGUUACUAUUGUCUACUGAAUGCAGUCAUGGGAUGGAAAGCAAACAAACCCUGAAGAUGCAGGUGUGUGAUGUGUUGAAAUCUGAUACCUCUCGCUGCCUGUAAGUAAAAUAAACAGAAUUGACUUAA